rnacentral:rRNA from 1 species
UGCAAGUCGAGGGGAAACGACAUCGAAAGCUUGCUUUUGAUGGGCGUCGACCGGCGCACGGGUGAGUAACGCGUAUCCAACCUGCCCACCACUUGGGGAUAGCCUUUCGAAAGAAAGAUUAAUACCCGAUAGUUUCAAGAGUUUGCAUGAAAACUUGAAUAAAGAUUCAUUGGUAUGCGAUGGGGAUGCGUUCCAUUAGGUAGUAGGCGGGGUAACGGCCCACCUAGCCGACGAUGGAUAGGGGUUCUGAGAGGAAGGUCCCCCACAUUGGAACUGAGACACGGUCCAAACUCC